UAUAUGAGAUAUAAUAGGGCUAAAACUCUUAACCCGGCUUAAGCAUUUUGGGUGGUGGCUAGACCCAAGAGGUUAAGAGAGUUAAGCGUGCUAGGACGGGAGUAGUCCUAGGAUGGGUGACCCCCUGGGAAGUCGGGGCGUCUCAGAUGG
rnacentral:rRNA from 1 species